rnacentral:rRNA from 1 species
UGGGGAAUAUUGGACAAUGGGCGAAAGCCUGAUCCAGCCAUGCCGCGUGAGUGAAGAAGGCCCUAGGGUUGUAAAGCUCUUUCAGCGGGGAAGAUAAUGACGGUACCCGCAGAAGAAGCCCCGGCCAACUCCGUGCCAGCAGCCGCGGUAAGACGGAGGGGGCUAGCGUUGCUCGGAAUUACUGGGCGUAAAGCGCGCGUAGGCGGUACGGCAAGUUGGGCGUGAAAGCCCAGGGCUCAACCCUGGAAUUGCGCUCAAAACUGCCGCACUGGAGUCCGGGAGAGGAGAGUGGAAUUCCCAGUGUAGAGGUGAAAUUCGUAGAUAUUGGGAAGAACACCAGUGGCGAAGGCGGCUCUCUGGCCCGGUACUGACGCUGAGGUGCGAAAGCGUGGGGAGCAAACAGGAUUAGAUACCCCCGUAGUCC